GCCUUCGUGGUGUAAUGGUCAGCACACUGAGCCGGUAUUUCAGAGUUCCGUGGUUCGAUUCCCGGCGAAGGCG
rfam:Stegodyphus mimosarum contig63146, whole genome shotgun sequence.